rnacentral:rRNA from 1 species
GUGGGGAAUAUUGGACAAUGGGCGAAAGCCUGAUCCAGCAAUGCCGCGUGAGUGAAGAAGGCCUUAGGGUUGUAAAGCUCUUUUACCCGGGAAGAUAAUGACUGUACCGGGAGAAUAAGCUCCGGCUAACUCCGUGCCAGCAGCCGCGGUAAUACGGAGGGAGCUAGCGUUGUUCGGAAUCACUGGGCGUAAAGCGCACGUAGGCGGCUUUGUAAGUUAGAGGUGAAAGCCCGGGGCUCAACUCCGGAACUGCCUUUAAGACUGCAUCGAUUGAAUCUGGGAGAGGUAAGUGGAAAUCCGGGUGUAGAGGUGAAAUUCGUAGAUAUUCGGAAGAACACCAGUGGCGAAGGCGGCUUACUGGACCAGAAUUGACGCUGAGGUGCGAAAGCGUGGGGAGCAAACAGGAUUAGAAACCCCGGUAGUCC